UCCGAGUUGACCCCGGCAGUCUCCGAUGAGUCCCCGGCAUAACCCGCUGGCAACAUCGGACAAGGGUUGCGCUCGUUGCGGCACUUAAGCCAACACCUCACGGCACGGGCUGACGACAGCCGUGCACCACCUGUGAUCCUGCCCGUGAGGGAAGCCGUGUUUCCACGGCGGUCAGGAACAUGUCAAACCCAGGUAAGGUUCUUCGCGUUGCGUCGAAUUAAACCACAUGCUCCGCUGCUUGUGCGGGCCCCCGUCAAUUCCUUUGAGUUUUAGCCUUGCGGCCGUACUCCCCAGGCGGGGUGCUUAAUGCGUUAGCUUCGGCACGGGGGGAGUCGACACCCCCCACACCUAGCACCCAUCGUUUACGGCGUGGACUAC
rnacentral:misc_RNA from 1 species